UUGGAGGGCAAGUCUGGUGCCAGCAGCCGCGGUAAUUCCAGCUCCAAUAGCGUAUAUUAAAGUUGCUGCAGUUAAAAAGCUCGUAGUUGAAUUUCGGGAUCAAUUUGCUGGUCGUGCCUACGGUACGUACUGGUUUUGUUGAUUCCUCUCUUCUGAGGAGCCGCGAUGUCAUUAACUUGGUGUCGUGGGGAAUCAGGACUGUUGCUUUGAAAAAAUUAGAGUGUUUAAAGCAGGCUAACGCUUGAAUACAUUAGCAUGGAAUAAUGAAAUAGGACGUUUGACCCUAUUUUGUUGGUUUCUAGGAUCGACGUAAUGAUUAAUAGGGAUAGUUGGGGGCAUUAGUAUUCAAUUGUCAGAGGUGAAAUUCUUGGAUUUAUUGAAGACUAACUACUGCGAAAGCAUUUGCCAAGGAUGUUUUCAUUAAUCAAGAACGAAAGUUAGGGGAUCGAAGACGAUCAGAUACCGUCGUAGUCUUAACCAUAAACUAUGCCGACCAGGGAUCGGAUGAUAAAUUUUUAAUAACUCAUUCGGCGCCUUACGGGAAAC
rnacentral:rRNA from 1 species